rnacentral:rRNA from 1 species
GCAUAUCAAUAAGCGGAGGAAAAGAAACCAACA